CAUUCUUUAAGAAAACACAUUCUUUCAUUGGAUUCAAACCAAAGACGUUAGAAGCAGAUCAUUUUGUCCAACCUUCAAAUUCAAUGUGAAUCAUAAGGAAUGCAAACGUUAUUCCUUCUAAAACUCAAACAAUCUCAGUUUCAAGGGAUUCAACCAGAAUUUCAUUUAAUAAGCUUCAUUCCGUUAGAUCAUUUUGUCCAACCUUCAAAUCCAACGUGAAUCAUAAGGAAUCCAAAUGUUAUUCCUUCUAAAACUCAAAGAACCAGAAACAUUUUCCUCUCAAUUUCAAGGGAUUCAGUCAGAAUUUCGUUCAACAUAUUUCACGAAAGCAGAAGCUUUAUUUCGUUCAAAUAAAUCUAGGAACAUGUCUGUUACGAUUAUCCCUUCUUUCUUUUGGCAUGAUCAAUACGAUACAAACGAAACGUACAAAUGAAAAUAUUCCACAAAUGAUUCUAUUCAUAGAAAUAUUAGAGAUAUCUAUAUUAUUGAAUUUUUAUGUGUCAUAAUAUUUAUCAUCUGUUCAUAGCUCUUAGAAAAAUACGAAAGUUGAAAGUAGUUUACUUUAUGAUAUU
rnacentral:lncRNA from 1 species